rnacentral:rRNA from 1 species
UAGGGAUCUUCCACAAUGGACGAAAGUCUGAUGGAGCAACGCCGCGUGUGUGAUGAAGGGUUUCGGCUCGUAAAACACUGUUGUAAGAGAAGAAUGACAUUGAGAGUAACUGUUCAGUGUGUGACGGUAUCUUACCAGAAAGGAACGGCUAAAUACGUGCCAGCAGCCGCGGUAAUACGUAUGUUCCAAGCGUUAUCCGGAUUUAUUGGGCGUAAAGCGAGCGCAGACGGUUAUUUAAGUCCGAAGUGAAAGCCCACAGCUUAACUGUGGAAGUGCUUUGGAAACUGGAUAACUUGAGUGCAGUAGAGGAGAGUGGAACUCCAUGUGUAGCGGUGAAAUGCGUAGAUAUAUGGAAGAACACCAGUGGCGAAGGCGGCUCUCUGGACUGUAACUGACGUUGAGGCUCGAAAGUGUGGGUAGCAAACAGGAUUAGAUACCCUGGUAGUCCACACCGUAAACGAUGAGUGCUAGAUGUUUGAGGGUUUCCGCCCUUAAGUGUCGCAGCUAACGCAUUAAGCACUCCGCCUGGGGAGUACGACCGCAAGGUUGAAACUCAAAGGAAUUGACGGGGGCCCCGCACAAGA